rnacentral:rRNA from 1 species
GCUCAGGAUGAACGCUAGCUACAGGCUUAACACAUGCAAGUCGAGGGGCAGCAUGGUCUUAGCUUGCUAAGGCCGAUGGCGACCGGCGCACGGGUGAGUAACACGUAUCCAACCUGCCGUCUACUCUUGGACAGCCUUCUGAAAGGAAGAUUAAUACAAGAUGGCAUCAUGAGUCCGCAUGUUCACAUGAUUAAAGGUAUUCCGGUAGACGAUGGGGAUGCGUUCCAUUAGAUAGUAGGCGGGGUAACGGCCCACCUAGUCUUCGAUGGAUAGGGGUUCUGAGAGGAAGGUCCCCCACAUUGGAACUGAGACACGGUCCAAACUCCUACGGGAGGCAGCAGUGAGGAAUAUUGGUCAAUGGGCGCAGGCCUGAACCAGCCAAGUAGCGUGAAGGAUGACUGCCCUAUGGGUUGUAAACUUCUUUUAUAAAGGAAUAAAGUCGGGUAUGGAUACCCGUUUGCAUGUACUUUAUGAAUAAGGAUCGGCUAACUCCGUGCCAGCAGCCGCGGUAAUACGGAGGAUCCGAGCGUUAUCCGGAUUUAUUGGGUUUAAAGGGAGCGUAGAUGGAUGUUUAAGUCAGUUGUGAAAGUUUGCGGCUCAACCGUAAAAUUGCAGUUGAUACUGGAUAUCUUGAGUGCAGUUGAGGCAGGCGGAAUUCGGGGUGUAGCGGUGAAAUGCUUAGAUAUCACGAAGAACUCCGAUUGCGAAGGCAGCCUGCUAAGCUGCAACUGACAUUGAGGCUCGAAAGGGUGGGUAUCAAACAGGAUUAGAUACCCUGGUAGUCCACACGGUAAACGAUGAAUACUCGCUGUUUGCGAUAUACUGCAAGCGGCCAAGCGAAAGCGUUAAGUAUUCCACCUGGGGAGUACGCCGGCAACGGUGAAACUCAAAGGAAUUGACGGGGGCCCGCACAAGCGGAGGAACAUGUGGUUUAAUUCGAUGAUACGCGAGGAACCUUACCCGGGCUUAAAUUGCAGAUGAAUUACGGUGAAAGCCGUAAGCCGCAAGGCAUCUGUGAAGGUGCUGCAUGGUUGUCGUCAGCUCGUGCCGUGAGGUGUCGGCUUAAGUGCCAUAACGAGCGCAACCCUUGUUGUCAGUUACUAACAGGUUCCGCUGAGGACUCUGACAAGACUGCCAUCGUAAGAUGUGAGGAAGGUGGGGAUGACGUCAAAUCAGCACGGCCCUUACGUCCGGGGCUACACACGUGUUACAAUGGGGGGUACAGAGGGCCGCUACCACGCGAGUGGAUGCCAAUCCCAAAAACCUCUCUCAGUUCGGACUGGAGUCUGCAACCCGACUCCACGAAGCUGGAUUCGCUAGUAAUCGCGCAUCAGCCACGGCGCGGUGAAUACGUUCCCGGGCCUUGUACACACCGCCCGUCAAGCCAUGGGAGCCGGGGGUACCUGAAGUGCGUAACCGCGAGGAGCGCCCUAGGGUAAAACUGGUG